CUGCUUUACAGAUGCUAUAAAUAGUUCUCUUCUUUAUUCAUUGCAUGCUUGCAGUGAAUAUUUUGUUUACCUUUCUUGAACAUCAAUUCCUCUUUCAUUUUCAACAAGAGUCGGUUGAUCAUAACUCCUUUUUCAAUAAGAGUCCAUUAAUCAUAACUCCUUUUCCUACGUUCUAUUAAAGCUCUUCAUAUUUGACAUUUGACAUAAACAUUUUGCAACAAAGUUCCGUGUUUACUGAGUAAAAUCUCUCUAUAUUUACUGAGUAGACUCCAUCAGUAACUGGUGCAAUGAUAUGUUAUGUAGACAGAAAUACCAGUUCCGUGUUUCAAUUAUCUCACUAUGCCGUGUUUUUCAGCCUGUGACGGGUGACUGGAGGUGUAUUUGAUGAAGUGCAAGUUUUCUUAGUACUAACAUCUUCGGAUAGUUCAAUGGUAGUUGUCUACACAGGUCGAACUAAACUGCACGAUGAAAUAUGCAGGGGUCAAUGUUCAUGUAAACGAAGCAGAGGCAACUUGGUCCUCACACAGUCGCAGAUGUCUACUGUAACAAAUGCGAGAAUCUACUAGGAUGGAAAUUUAUUGAAGUAUUUGAAGAGGAUCCAGUCGCAAGAAAAGACAUGGUUAUGUUGAAAAUGGAGAAGCUGCAGGAAAGGAAUGGAAAUCAAAUAGAAGAAGCAGAAGAACCUAGAGCAAAUGCAGCAAUGGGAGCGCCAGUAGUUAAGAAACUAUAAACCUAUGAUGGAAGAUUCUGUCAAGGAGAUCUCUUGAAUAAAUCAAUUAACUUCUACAAGAGAAACUUUGAAUGCCCUUUACUUUGCUUUUUCCAUAUUUUUUAUAAGCUUUUCACAUUUCUUAUAUUGCUAUAUGUACCCUGAUAUGGUACUGCAACAUCCCAUACCUGAACAAGAAAAAAUGAUUCAUACACUAGUUUCUUUUUGCUAAAAGGGAUUUGAUACAGUACUGAUACACAAUUCGGGGGUGUUUUCUAUUGUAAACCGUGAUAAUAUUGUCAUCAUGUUUCAUGAUUGUAGCCUCUGAAUAGGGCUCUUUGCGCUGUUUAGCAUCAGUUAUUGUGCAGAUGUGAAGUUGCAACUCUGAUUCUCUGGAAUCUGAAGUACACUUAUAAA